rnacentral:lncRNA from 10 species
UUUGCCUUUAAAAUAUACAUUUUGCUCAAGUGUAGAGGUCCGAUGCUGGGUGGCUGGGUGUUAAUUAUCCUGGGGGCGGGUGUGGUAGGGCACUAGCUGGGCUGGGCUGGGCUCGCUGGCGGCUGGUUUGAGAGGAGGGUGAUUCAGAGGAAGGCAGUGACACCCAGAUGUGGGACAGGCUGCAAGAAAGCCUGGUGGGCCUUAGGGCAGACACUUGUGGGGACCCGGGGAGCCCUAGGUGCCCUGACAGGUGGAAGAGGGGUGCAGAAAGGGAGGAUGUCAAAGAGAGAAUGUCAAAGGUCAUAACCAAACCUAACAAUUUUCUUCUACUUAUGCCUUUUGUCAGGACAAGGAGAGGGACAAAUUCCUUCUUGGCAUCCUUAUGGCCCUGUGACCUGCUAAUGAAUGCUGACUCUGAGUUGCUACUAGAAUUUGGUUUCCUUGUGGCUUCCCAGGAAUUGUGAGCCAUGUUGGAUAAGGACCUGCAAGGGAAGAAUGAGGAAGCCUGGGACAGUGCAGGAGGGGAGAGCACUGGUGGUAGAGAGGAGUGAUGACAAGGGUCUCCGCCAAAAGGGAAAUGGAGGGGUUAAAGAAGCUGCUGGGGAGGGUUAAAAACAAUGUGUUCUCACUCGUAGGUGGGAAUUGAACAAUGAGAACACUUGGACACAGGAAGGGGAACAUCACACACUGGGGCCUGUCGUGGGGUGUGGGGAGGGAGGAGGGAUAGCAUUAGGAGAUAUACCUAAUGUAAAUGAUGAGUUAAUGGGUGCAGCACACCAACAUGGCACAUGUAUACCUAUGUAACAAACCUGCACAUUGUGUACAUGUACCCUAGAACUUAAAGUAUAAUUAAAAAACAAAACAAAACAAAACAAAAACAAUGAGGUGCUAUUGUUUUAGUGGUGAGUAUCCGGAGACCUGGGAGUUCUAUUUACCAGGUAUAACCUGGGCUCAAAAUUCCAGGCUGACUUCAGGCAUGUCCUCAUCUCAUAGAUGCCAGCACUAAGGCCCAGAGAGGGCCGAGCUCAUUCAGCCCACCCAUCUUCUCACCCCUGACUGCAUUUCCCGGGGGUCCUUCUGCAGCCAGGUGCUGCUGUGGUACUUUGGGAUCUAUUGGCUGAGCUCCCAGAGAAGGGUCAUGGAUUGGGCUAGUUUGGAACAAGUGAAGGGACUGAAGAUGGGCUCAGUAUGGGGCGAAGACCUUCAGGAAGGGUCUGCAGAGUGAGUAGGGGGGUUUUGACUAGGAAAAGUUCCAACCCUGCCGGGGCCGCUGUCAAGAGAAAAGCAUCUAUUACAGUUACAUUUUUAAGUUAAGUAGACUGAAGAAUAUUUCUUGUGUAUUAAAGACGUUCCUUUUUGGUUGAUUUGCAAUGGAAAAGCUUUUGUUUUCUUUUUUUUUUUGGAAACAGGGUCUCACUCUGCUCACUCUGUCUCCCAAGCUGGAGUGCAGUGGUACAGUCACGGCUCACUGCAGCCUCCACUUCCUGGACUCAAGUGAUCUUCUCACUUCAGCCUUCUGAGUAGCUGGGACUACAGCCCCCUCUGCAGCUCUUCAUGGGGGUCCACUCAAGUCAGAAGCCACAUUUGGGUGUGAUUCAGAGAGCUGUUUAUGCAAAACCAGCUUUGUCACCAUCAGGCAAGGCACCUGAAUUCCCACCGCAGAGAGUGUUGUGGCCGUGAGGACUUUUCUGUCACCAGCCAUUUCCAGGUAGACCCAGUGUAAUCACAAGCAUCCUUGUAAGUGGCAAAGAGGCAGAGGAGACAGCGCCAGAGAGGCAGCUGCAUGAGAAGGAUCAAGAUGUUGCUGACUUUGAAGUUGGAAGAAGAAGGCCAUGAGCCUCAGUAUGUGGGCGGCUUCUAGAAGCUGGAAGGGGCAAGGAGAUGGAUUUGACCCUUCAGCCUCCAGGGGCAGCUGUACCUGCCAUCACUGAUUGUAGCCUGGUGAGGCCUGUUUUAGACUUCUGACCUGUAGAGCUGUAACAUAAUACAUUUGGGUUGUUUUCAACCACUAAGUUUGUGGUAAUUUGUUGUAGCAGCUGUAGAAAAUGAAUACAUAUGAAUCCUCUGGCAUUUGUUUGAGAUUUGCUCUAUGGCCUAGUAUGUGGUUGUAAAUGUUCCAUCUGUGCCUGAAAAAAUGUAUAUUUCUAAUUCAGUAGUCUCUGCUUUUUUUUUUUAUUUUGUACCCCAUCAAUAAAAUGAUUUUCAG